AAACAACUUCCAUGACUUCAUCACAGUUUUGUUUUGUUUUUUUUUUCUCACAACAGGUUACUUUCCAACAUGGAAACAGUAUCAAGUUUGUGGCUUCAUUCAUCUCUUCCUGCACAACAGGUGGAGGGGAUAGUGGUUACCGGCGACAGCGCUGCCAAACGGGCGACCACAGUGCGAGUCUGCGUUUUAGCAUUUCAACAUUCACUGAGGCAACCGAAACCAGACACUUCUUCAGGGAAGUUGGACCAUCUCCAGCCUUGCUUGUGGCAACCAAAACAGGGUUUUAAGUCACUCGAAUAGCUGAUGACACAGAUGUCAACGAGGGACCCCAGUGCCGACCAGACUGACAGGCAAAAGGACUUUGCGAUGCAGGUGUGAGGUCAUCGAGGGCUUGUGACUGAUAUACGAAAUUCCCUGCAGGCUACACCGUCUCACUGAACAACAAGUUUGGCCUUUGCUGUGUAUGAGGGUCACGUCUUCAUACACAACAUCCUUCAAAGGAUGCGGCCACCGGAUUGAGACACAGCUAUCAUAACUAUUAUACCUGUUUAACAUCAGCACGUUACUGUUGUGACUGUAAGAAUGUUAGCAUGCUGCGCCAAAUAAUAGCUUUACUGAACUGCUAGCCUGACUCGUAGUCUCGUUUUGUUGGA